UACAGAGGGUGCAAGCGUUAAUCGGAAUUACUGGGCGUAAAGGGCGCGUAGGCGGUACUUCAAGUCAGGCGUGAAAGCCCCGGGCUCAACCUGGGAACCGCGCUUGAGACUGGAGAACUAGAGUUCGGGAGAGGAUGGUGGAAUGCUUGGUGUAGAGGUGAAAUUCGUAGAUAUCAAGCGGAACACCGGUGGCGAAGGCGGCCUUCUGGACAGUGACUGACGCUGAGACGCGAAAGCGUGGGGAGCAAACAGG
rnacentral:rRNA from 1 species